ACUGUGACUGACCCAAACUUAAGGAAAGCUUUGACUAUGUACAGACUCAGUGAGCAUAAAUGUCAAAUGUGUGAUUUCAUGAACUGGUACAUACAAGAAAACCAGGUUUUAAAGUUCUGUUCAAUAGCCAUCCCAUCAUUACAAAACAUUUGAAAGGCUAAGUCUAUCAUCUCCUGAGAAGUGGUAACUAUUCACAUGAACUUUUCAAAGAGGUUUGGUGCCCCCUGGUGGCUGAACCCGAGAUCAAUGAGAGAUCUUGUCAGAAACAAUGACAGAGUCCCACUUCUCAGCUAUCUUUAUUUACAUCAAACUAAACUAACUGCUAUCUUGAAAUGUUGAAAACGUGUUUUUAAAUAGCUCAGGCUGAUGCCCUACCUGAGCGACAAGGUGAGUCUUUUCUCCCUGACCUGGUGGUUCUAAUGACCUGGUGGUUCUAAUGACCUGGUGGUUCUAAUGACCUGGUGGUUCUAAUGACCUGGUGGUUCUAAUGACCUGGUGAUUAUAAUGACCUGGUGGUUCUAAUGACCUGGUGGUUCUAAUGACCUGGUGGUUCUAAUGACCUGGUGGUUCUAAUGACCUGGUGGUUCUAAUGACCUGGUUGUUCUAAUGACCUGGUGGUAAUAAUGACCUGGUGGUUGGCAUAACAAAAGCAGAACCCGAGAACAGGAUGGCCUCCACCACACAGCCUGAUGACACUGCACCAGCCUACCAGUCUGCUCCAGCCCAGGUCAGAAUACCAGUCUCCCAGUCUGCUCCAGCCCAGGUCAGAAUACCAGUCUGCUCCAACACAGUGUGCUCCAGCCCAGGUCAGAAUACCAGUCUCCCAGUCUGCUCCAACACAGUGUGCUCCAGCCCAGGUCAGAAUACCAGUCUCCCAGUCUGCUCCAGCCCAGGUCAGAAUACCAGUCUCCCAGUCUGCUCCAGCACAGGUCAGAAUACCAGUCUCCCAGUCUGCUCCAGCACAGUCUGCUCCAGCCCGGGUCAGAAUACCAGCCUCCCAGUCUGCUCCAGCCCAGGUCAGAAUACCAGUCUCCCAUUCUGCUCCAGCCUACCAGUCUGCUCCAGCCCAGGUCAGAAUACCAGCCUCCCAGUCUGCUCCAGCACAGUGUGCUCCCUGGCAACACCAUAGACUACACUAUGCACAACCAAAGGCUCUUUUAAGAGCCAUUCACAUUGCAAUAAGAGUAUUCUUCCAUUUACUUAGCUAUGUCAACUGCAGUUAUUCAAUUCACAGUGUCUCUCCCUUUGAUUUCUACUUCUCAGAUGAGGGUGCUGUUUAGGUAAGGGUGUGAUGUCUGUGCAAAAACAAAACAGGCUAUUUUAAAUCACCCAUAUUGAAAAAAUGUAGAACAAUUAGACACUCUAUAACCCACACCUACACACUCAUGUAUCAAUCUGAUUGAUGGAUUGUGUUGUGCAGUAAACAGGCUCUGGUGUAAAACUGUGACUCCUUCCACCUUCAAAAAAUAGGCAAGAGGGCCAACCAUGGAGAAUAGUAAGACACUUCAUUAUUUCUAUAACUACGCUAUAUUGUUUGUCCUUGUGGGUCCGUUCAUGUUUUUCAGCAUAAAGUACUCUGCAGCCACUUAGUGUGGUGUGGACACCAGGUGAGGCCACACACAGAUUCCUGUUGAACACUGUCGCUUUAACUACCUUAUUUUCUCAAUAAGUCUCUAUCCUUCACUUCAUCCCUCUCUCCCCUUCUCCCUAAAUCCUCUAGGUUAUAUCAGCUGUGUCGGUGAACCCCUCCUGCAUCUGAACUGGCUACAUAGAGGGCACAGCAUGAUCAGAGAUAUGUUUUGAUGUGAGAGGAUGCCAACCCCUAGUCCCAUCAUCGCCACCUCAGCUGCUUUUAAGAUAACCUUUAGGCCGACGAGAAACACUUAUGUAAUUGUGAUGAACUGAGAGAAUAUUUAUGUAGCACUGUGAUUCAUUAAUCAUGUGCUGCCUUCCCUGCUCCUAUGUGCUUACCUCUUUCCCUUUCUGUCUUUUACACCUCUCUCUCCACCUCCUCUUUCUUCCUCUGUUUUUAUAAUUCACAACAGAUGUGCAUUGAAGUACAGAUUGAACUUGUAUUUAUAACACUUGGACAAUGAGCUUUUCAAUAAAGCGUUUCACAUUC